rnacentral:rRNA from 1 species
ACCAGUACUAGCCCACACANNNNNNNNNNNNNNNNNNNNNNNNNNNNNNNNAAACAAAACAUUUACCMMUAUUAAAGUAUAGGAGAUAGAAAUUUUUAACCGGAGCUAUAGAGCCAGUACCGCAAGGGAAAGAUGAAAGAAUUAACUCAUAGUAAAAUAAAGCAAAGACUAAACCUUCUACCUUUUGCAUAAUGAAUUAACUAGAAACAUCUUCACAAAAAGACUUUAAGCCAAGAACCCCGAAACCAGACGAGCUACUUAUGAGCAGCUAUCAGAGCCAAUCCGUCUAUGUAGCAAAAUAGUGGAGUGACUUAUAAGUAGAGGUGAAAAGCCUACCGAGCCUGGUGAUAGCUGGUUAUCCAGAUAAGAAUCUUAGUUCAACCUUAAAUUUACUUCAAGCACCUAAAAUCCAAAUGUAAAUUUAAUUGUUAGCCUAAAGAGGGACAGCUCUUUAGGCAUAGGAAACAACCUUAUUUAGAGAGUAAACUCAACAACUUCCAUAGUUGGCCUAAAAGCAGCCAUCAAUUAAAAAAGCGUUCAAGCUUAACCCAAUUAAUAAACUUAANUCCACACUCAUAAUCAUCUCCUAACUUUACACUGGAUUAAUCUAUAAUUAAUUAUAGAAGCAAUAAUGUUAAUAUAAGUAACAAGNAAUUUUUUCUCCCUGCAUAAGCUUAUAUCAGCCCGAAUAAAUCACUGAUAGUUAACAAACCUAUAGUUUAACCCAACAACCACAAUUACUAUUACUCACAAUGUUAACCCAACACCGGCAUGCACCUUAAGGGAAAGAUUAAAAAAAGUAAAAGGAACUCGGCAAACACUAACCCCGCCUGUUUACCAAAAACAUCACCUCUAGCAUAAACAGUAUUAGAGGCACUGCCUGCCCAGUGACAUAUGUUAAACGGCCGCGGUAUCCUGACCGUGCAAAGGUAGCAUAAUCAUUUGUUCCUUAAAUAGGGACUUGCAUGAAUGGCCAAACGAGGGUUUAUCUGUCUCUUACUUUUAAUCAGUGAAAUUGACCUUUCCGUGAAGAGGCGGGAAUAAACAAAUAAGACGAGAAGACCCUAUGGAGCUUAAAUUUAUUAAUCCAAGUAUUUUCUAUAUAAGUUCUAUAAGAAACAAACCUAUUACCCAUGGAUUAAAAAUUUUGGUUGGGGUGACCUCGGAGUAAAACCUAACCUCCGAAUGAUCUUAAUCUAGACCUAACCCGUCUAAAUUUAAAUUCAUAAAUUGACCCAAACUAUUUGAUCAACGGAACAAGUUACCCUAGGGAUAACAGCGCAAUCCUACCCAAGAGUCCAUAUCGACAGUUAGGGUUUACGACCUCGAUGUUGGAUCAGGACAUCCAAAUGGUGCAGCAGCUAUUAAUGGUUCGUUUGUUCAACGAUUAAAGUCCUACGUGAUCUGAGUUCAGACCGGAGAAAUCCAGGUCGGUUUCUAUCUAUUAACAAUUUCUCCCAGUACGAAAGGACAAGAGAAAUGAGGCCAAUUUCAAUAACACGCCUUAUAACAAUAGAUGAUAUAAUCUUAAUCUAAUUAAAUAUUUCCAUACUCACCCUAGACCAGGGUUAA